CGCUAGCCUCAACAGCCGUUGGAAGGCUGGUUUCCAUGAGGGGCGUGAAAUUACCUAUUUACAAAAAGUUAACUAUAUACAUGAAAUACAAAAUAUAACAAAAUAAAUAAAUACAAUUGAUUUUAGCUGCACGAUUAUGCACAGGCAAAUUUCAACUCAUUCUUUGUUUCAAUAUCGACUUGAAAGAGUUUAGGGAUUCAGCAAUUUUUGCCUCAUGGGGAAGAUUAUUCCAAUGCAAGGCACCAUUAUAACUGAAGCACCUCUUGCCGAAUUCUUUUUUCGGCAUAGGUGGUGCUAAAUCAGUAUCCGAAUUUCUAAGAUUGUAACUAUUAUGUCUUUCAUUGUUAAAAUAAAAUGCUUCUUUAAGAUUGGGUGCGGUGUGGCCAUUCAGAACUUUAUAGAUGAAAAUAGAUUUAAGAUAAUUUCGUCUUUCUUCUAGAGGUUUCCAAUUUAGAUUAUUGAGUAACUCAGAUGACCGAAUAUCGUAGGUUGCCCCAGUAAUUACUCUUGCAGCACGAUUUUGGUAUUUUUGCAACUUAUCUUUGAGCCCAAUUCCACAAUUAUCCCACAAAGAGCUGCAAUAAUCGAAAUAAGGCUGUAUAAUAGCAUUAUAUAGCAUUUUGGUUGUCGACAGUGGUACAAAAGGUUUAACACGUCUCAUUGCACCAAUACCGGCACCAACUUUAGAACAGAUUGAAUCAAUAUGUUUAUCCCAAGACAACCUUUCGUCCAUAGUCACGCCAAGGCAUGAAUAUUUAUUAAUCCUGGGUACUAGCUUAUUAUUAAUUAAAAUGGGAUUACCAGAUACUUUAUUCUUAAGGUUAUAGGGAAACCCAAUGAACAUAUGUUUCGAU
rnacentral:lncRNA from 1 species